ensembl:lncRNA
UAAUACAUCACUUUACUUUUCAUGAUUCAGCCAAUUUCUAUAAGUGGAAAUCCUAAAAGCACUUAAAGAGGUUUGAACCAAUACACUACUGUGGACACUGGCCUUCAUUUUUAUGAGCACACUUUAUAGCAGACCUGUUCAAAGCCUACCUCUGGCUUAUGUGGAUUUAUGUCAAGGUGGUGGUGUUCUUGGGUUUCCAAAUGGUAUCCACAGUCUGAUAUUCUUUCUUCCAUGUCAGCUGUCCAUGAGGUCACACCUCUUCCCAGCGGGUACAGCCUGAGUCAUGGUGAGCUACACACUUGCUCCCUUUUUCAGCAAUUUGCUGAACGUGGGACUGAAGAUGAACUGCAAUGAACUCCAGAAGGUCAAGGUCAUGUGCAAGAAAACCUCUCUAGUUAAAUCCAUCCAUUUAAAAACACCAUUAGGUCACAAAAAGCAGCCUCAGUGUGCCAGGGGGCUUCAUUUGAAAAUAUGUGCCUGGGUCCAGCUUCUGUAGAUCUGCUCUGCGAAGUGAUGCUUUGCAAGAUAUGCUCUAGUACUCUUCUAUGAAAUCUUUCAUUUGCUUUUGAUACCUGUUUUCACCCUUUCAGAUGCUACCAGGUUUCAGUGCACAUCGCAUUUCUAAUAAGAAAGGAAACAAGCAAGUGCUGAUGUGUGGCACGUAAUUGCAACAAUUCCGACUACAUUUGUCUAAUGGGGAUGAAUAACGCUUUUCAGCAAGGUAUACACUGAGGAAUAAUGAAAACAGGGCUGAAACGCAUUCCACAACUGGGAUCCUAUCAAACAUAUAUUUAAGUUUCACUUUAAUUUGUUACAGUACACUGUUGAAAUGUAACAGCGUUUAGAGAUUACUGAGCAGAUGCUAAUGUGGUUCAAACAGACAAUAUCAAUAAUCCUGAUAUUACUUAAUAACACAUGUUUUCCCUUCAAAGACUUCUAAUGCGGAGCAAGAAACAUACUGCAGUACUGAUAUGGAUUUGCUUGCAAUGCAGCAGUACCUGCACCCAUGGCACGGGGAGAGGCAGCAGUCACCUGCACAAGGUGCAGCACUGUGUGUUUGGCCAUUUCAUCUUUGGGGAAAACCUAAAACAUUAGCAUCGUUUCUAAUUAAGAAAUGAGUCAUUUGCACUUCCCACUACUCUUAUACACAACACAUUUUAACAGCAGUAGCAAUGGCUCUUCUCACCGUGAGCUUCCAAGAAGUUGCAGAUGGUCUGUCACCAGCAAAGAGCAAAUCACCUCUGAUAAAUCACUUUGUCUCCUGGUCUUCCACACAUACCUUGACCUAGCUGCAAUACGCCGAAGCCAAGGAAAAUACAGCUAGACAGACAGCAAAUCCUCUAAUCGAAGGAGCAAAAAUCCCCAUUCACCAGGUCCUUGGGAAUAGAAAUUCCACGUUGAAACAACUGCUUUGCAUUUUCAAAUGACACGACGUUACAUACUUUGGAAAGGCACUGCUGGAUCGGCUGGUGCUGAUUUUACAUCUGCUAAGCAGUGAUUUACUUUGGAAGCAGUCAGAUUUUUUUUUUUUCCAAGGGUUCUGUUGAUGUGUGGAUGUCACAUGCUGUCCCGUAAUAAAAAGCACAUUUUCUGCAAUUCUGUAAGAAUCACAAUUCAUAAUACUUUAUAUUCAAAAGGUUUUUAAUGAAGUGUCACAUUAUUGCUACUUGCAUUGCUUUCUCAUUAUGGACCAAACUUUCAGAUGAGCUCACAGAUACAUUUUCAAGUGCUCAGUAUUCUCCAGAGUUUAAAAAGACCUCAGCUUUAUUUUAGCACCUAAAAAAAAAAAAAAAAAAGAGCUGGUAUGUCAGCAGUGCUCAGAGAUGAUCUUUCUUAAUAAAUGCCCAAUGCAUCUGAAACAACAGCAAGCAUACAUGCCACCGUAUGUACUCUAAUCACGUCGUUUUAACACAGUGUCCCAAAAAGGGGUAUACAGAAAUGACUGCAUCUUUCCCCAUUACAAUAUCUGAAAAGCUCAGCUAUUUCAUUGCAACCCAUUUGUAGGUUUGCAAAAACAAUCCUACAUAUAUAAAAAAAGAGGUCCUCAGAUUCAA